rnacentral:rRNA from 1 species
UACGUAGGGAGCAAGCGUUGUUCGGAUUUACUGGGCGUAAAGGGCGCGUAGGCGGCAGAUCAAGUCAGCUGUGAAAUCUCCGAGCUUAACUCGGAACUGUCAGCUGAUACUGUUUUGCUAGAGUGCGGAAGGGGCAAUCGGAAUUCUUGGUGUAGCGGUGAAAUGCGUAGAUAUCAAGAGGAACACCUGAGGUGAAGACGGGUUGCUGGGCUGAUACUGACGCUGAGGCGCGAAAGCUAGGGUAGCAAACGGG